CGUACACGAAAGCACACUUGCUGUGAACUCGAAGAGUAGGGCGGGACACGUGGUAUCCUGUCUGAAUAUGGGGGGACCAUCCUCCAAGGCUAAAUACUCCUGACUGACCGAUAGUGAACCAGUACCGUGAGGGAAAGGCGAAAAGAACCCCGGCGAGGGGAGUGAAAAAGAACCUGAAACCGUGUACGUACAAGCAGUGGGAGCCUCUUUAUGGGGUGACUGCGUACCUUUUGUAUAAUGGGUCAGCGACUUAUAUUCUGUAGCAAGGUUAACCGUAUAGGGGAGCCGAAGGGAAACCGAGUCUUAACUGGGCGUUAAGUUGCAGGGUAUAGACCCGAAACCCGGUGAUCUAGCCAUGGGCAGGUUGAAGGUUGGGUAACACUAACUGGAGGACCGAACCGACUAAUGUUGAAAAAUUAGCGGAUGACCUGUGGCUGGGGGUGAAAGGCCAAUCAAACCGGGAGAUAGCUGGUUCUCCCCGAAAGCUAUUUAGGUAGCGCCUCGUGAACUCAUCUUCGGGGGUAGAGCACUGUUUCGGCUAGGGGGCCAUCCCGGCUUACCAACCCGAUGCAAACUACGAAUACCGAAGAAUGUUAUCACGGGAGACACACGGCGGGUGCUAACGUCCGUCGUGAAGAGGGAAACAACCCAGACCGCCAGCUAAGGUCCCAAAGUCAUGGUUAAGUGGGAAACGAUGUGGGAAGGCACAGACAGCCAGGAUGUUGGCUUAGAAGCAGCCAUCAUUUAAAGAAAGCGUAAUAGCUCACUGGUCGAGUCGGCCUGCGCGGAAGAUGUAACGGGGCUAAACCAUG
rnacentral:rRNA from 1 species